GACGAACGCUGGCGGCGUGCUUAACACAUGCAAGUCGAACGAUGAAGCCCAGCUUGCUGGGUGGAUUAGUGGCGAACGGGUGAGUAACACGUGGGCAACCUGCCCCAAACUCUGGGAUAACUCCUCGAAAGAGGUGCUAAUACCGGAUACGAACUAGAUAGACAUCUGCACUAGUUGGAAAGUUUUUCGGUUUGGGAUGGGCCCGCGGCCUAUCAGCUUGUUGGUGAGGUAACGGCUCACCAAGGCUACGACGGGUAACCGGGCUGAGAGGGCGACCGGUCACACUGGGACUGAGACACGGCCCAGACUCCUACGGGAGGCAGCAGUGGGGAAUAUUGCGCAAUGGGCGAAAGCCUGACGCAGCGACGCCGCGUGAGGGAUGAAGGUCUUCGGAUCGUAAACCUCUUUCAGUAGGGACGAAGCGAAAGUGACGGUACCUAAAGAAGAAGCACCGGCUAACUACGUGCCAGCCGCCGCGGUAA
rnacentral:rRNA from 1 species